ACAAAACGCCAGCGCAGUUAACCUCAGUUACUCGACUCAGUUUCCUCUCGGGCUCCGGCACCCGUAUCGCUUCCUGCCACCGCGUCGUGCGCUGACAUCAGCAGAGCCGCAGGCGCGCGGAGGAUGAGCUCACCUCCGGCCGGCGCGCUGCCUCUCUGCCGUGCUCUGAGCAUCCCCCAAAACCACAGCCAAUGCAUCACUGGAAAAGACGGUUCCAGGCCCAGCAAAACUACUGGUCUUAGGAGAUCUCUGAGUAACAUUCCUGCCGCAACUCAGUAAUAUGCUACCUGCUCAUGUCUUGCUGAAGCCGGAGGACUGGAAAACAAGCAAUGUUCUUAAUUUCAUACUUCAGAGUCUUCCUUUAUAAUUUUGGCCAAACUUUCUCUCCUGUUUUCUGCUGGAUUACCCUAAACAUCUAAGUAAAGGCUUGGGGGGAAAAUGGCAAAUGCUUUAUCAGGGAGAUGCCUUUCAUAGUUUCUAGCAGAUCUUUCAUGAGGACAUUACUCUUUCUUAAAAGUCUUAUUUAUAACAUGAUGCCUUGUGCUGCCGUGGACAGCAGUAGUUCCACAGAAAGAUAGUGUUGACUCAGGAAUGCAGGUACAAUAAAGGAAACCUGUUUACGCAGCUAAUGGCUGAACCUACACGCCAUGCCAUCUCUGGUGGACAACGGAGCAGUCCCAACAGUAACGUUUUGUUUAUGUGUUUAUAAGGAUUGCAUCAGUAUGAGACUCCUCAACAAGUCCUUUCCUCCCUUUAUCAGAAAGCGAACGCUCAUGGCAUUUCCUACUGUAACGGAGUAGCAGUCCAGCUCACCUAAUGUUGUUGCUCCAAUAGUCACUUGGCUGCUCUAGAGGGAAGUGUGAGACCUUUACAUUUUACCUGUUGUACCACCAGGACAGUCAGCUCACACCCUAGCAUCUUGGGGAUUAAUGACUUGAAAUUUGUAUCUUCAUAUUAUCAGCUCAGGGCCACCUCCCAUAACCAGUUUUCGGCCUGGCAGCACUCCCCCAGAACUUGAUAGCGCCUUUGAGUGAACAGUGUUUACAAGCUUAGUCACAACCACUGGAUUUCAUCAUGUCACAGGACUGCCUGUAAAGAGCCAAAGUCCCGAAUGGGUUGCUUCCUUGCAGAGCCUCAGGAUUCAACUUAAAUUACUGUUAUACCUUCAGUCCAUAAUGUGCAUAUGUGGGGGUCCUCUACUGUUGCAGCUACGCAAAGUAAAGCUUGUGGAUAUAGGUCAGUUCUGGGAGAGAGCAAUGGCCAUUCGUGCUGACGUUGUUGCUGCUGGCUCCCAGUCUCAGACUGUAUGUAGAUUCAUGCGUUCAGCAUCAGAGCUGAUCUUGCUAAAUUCUGAGGAACGAAGUUAUUUCUGAUAGCCAGUUGCAAACAGUGAAAUCCUGGUAUUUACCAUCUGGUGGAUGCCCUGCCUGUCUAUUAAAGGGACAAAGUGGGUAUUUCGAUUAUCCUUGACAAGAUGUAAAAUUGGCUAGCUUUACAGUGUUAAAUAUUUAAAUAGAGCAUAAUUGGCUUUAAAUUUAUGGCAGUGCAGAGCUCACAUCCUUUCACCAGAGACCUGUUUCCUUAGCAGGUAUGUAUUUAACACAAGGUAACGUAUGCAGUAUUAAGACAAAAGGCUGACUGAAAAGCAAUAAUGGAAAAAAAUAGCUUUUCCCCUCGUAUUUAUUCUGUCUAGUCCAUCCAAUCUAAUAGUGACCAGAGUCCUAAUCCUGUUAAUUCCAUGUUUUGUUAAGUUUGCCCUUAUAAUAGUUCCUUGCAUAUGGAGUUUGGUGGUCUCCCAGAGUACUGCAUCUCAAUAACCUUUGUACCUCCUUUACCACAUAUCGGAGAAAUUAAGGAUUAAACGGCUCACAUGGCAGGGACUAACCUAAAUCUAUGCUGUAGAAUGAGGCAUGCUGC